rnacentral:rRNA from 1 species
AGGAAAGUUGAAAAGAACUUUGAAGAGAGAGUUCAAAAGGGCGUGAAACCGCUUAGAAUAAAACGGACGGAGCCGUCAGUGGCCUUCUGGAAUCAGUCGUACGAAGCGCGAUAAUACGUUUCGCUAGAGCGAAAGUCUAGCUGGCGUGUUAGGAAAUAGUAGCGUUCGUUCGAUGCAUUUCCAGAGGGUAUGCGCCGCGACCGAUACGAAAGGCUAGUGAAUCUGGCGAAUUGAGGUGGAAAACCCUUCGGGGUCUUCAGUACCAGUUCGUCGGCCUAUAGUCGCUAGACCGCAGUAUGUAUCGAGCGCGGAAUAUAUCGAACACUGGCAAGAAUGCUCGCUUAAGUGAUGGAUAGUCGUCGGAAUAUUCCGUACCUGCUCGCAGGUUAUGUUUAUUCCCGUUCGGCUUUUGAAGUCACGGGCGAGUUAUAGUGUUCGGGCGUCAGCGGCGUCCGAGACGGUCAACCGUCCGACCCGUCUUGAAACACGGACCAAGGAGUCUAACGUACGCGCGAGCUAAUGAGUGGAAAACUCAUAAGCGCAAUAAAAGUAAAAGCCGUUUCCGACGGCGUGGGGUACGAUCCCAGUGUAUUUAUUUACACCGGGCGCAGUACCAUCCCAUCCUGAUCGCUCGUCGAUAGGGUGGAGACUGAGUGCAUACGUUGGGACCCGAAAGAUGGUGAACUAUGCCUGAGCAGAGCGAAGCCAGAGGAAACUCUGGUGGAGGUUCGUAGCGGUUCUGACGUGCAAAUCGAUCGUCAGACUUGGGUAUAGGGGCGAAAGACUAAUCGAACCAUCUAGUAGCUGUUUCUCCUUCC